UAAGCAAGUAGUGAAAGCGUUCGGCUCAACCGAAUAAACAUUACUUGAACUGCAAAGCUAGAGGAUGAGAGAGGUUAUUGGAAUUCCCUGUGUAGGAGUGAAAUCCGUAGAUAUAGGGAGGAACACCGAUGGCGUAGGCAGAUAACUGGCUCAUUCCUGACACUAAGGCACGAAAGCGUGGGUAGCAAACGGGAUUAGAUACCCCGGUAGUCCACGCCGUAAACUAUGGAUGCUA
rnacentral:rRNA from 1 species